rnacentral:rRNA from 1 species
ACAAUGAAGAGUUUGAUCCUGGCUCAGGAUGAACGCUAGCUACAGGCUUAACACAUGCAAGUCGAGGGGCAUCAGGAAGAAAGCUUGCUUUCUUUGCUGGCGACCGGCGCACGGGUGAGUAACACGUAUCCAACCUGCCCUUUACUCGGGGAUAGCCUUUCGAAAGAAAGAUUAAUACCCGAUAGUAUAAUGAUUCCGCAUGGUUUCAUUAUUAAAGGAUUCCGGUAAAGGAUGGGGAUGCGUUCCAUUAGGUUGUUGGUGAGGUAACGGCUCACCAAGCCUUCGAUGGAUAGGGGUUCUGAGAGGAAGGUCCCCCACAUUGGAACUGAGACACGGUCCAAACUCCUACGGGAGGCAGCAGUGAGGAAUAUUGGUCAAUGGGCGCUAGCCUGAACCAGCCAAGUAGCGUGAAGGAUGAAGGCUCUAUGGGUCGUAAACUUCUUUUAUAUAAGAAUAAAGUGCAGUAUGUAUACUGUUUUGUAUGUAUUAUAUGAAUAAGGAUCGGCUAACUCCGUGCCAGCAGCCGCGGUAAUACGGAGGAUCCGAGCGUUAUCCGGAUUUAUUGGGUUUAAAGGGAGCGUAGGUGGACUGGUAAGUCAGUUGUGAAAGUUUGCGGCUCAACCGUAAAAUUGCAGUUGAUACUGUCAGUCUUGAGUACAGUAGAGGUGGGCGGAAUUCGUGGUGUAGCGGUGAAAUGCUUAGAUAUCACGAAGAACUCCGAUUGCGAAGGCAGCUCACUGGACUGCAACUGACACUGAUGCUCGAAAGUGUGGGUAUCAAACAGGAUUAGAUACCCUGGUAGUCCACACAGUAAACGAUGAAUACUCGCUGUUUGCGAUAUACAGUAAGCGGCCAAGCGAAAGCAUUAAGUAUUCCACCUGGGGAGUACGCCGGCAACGGUGAAACUCAAAGGAAUUGACGGGGGCCCGCACAAGCGGAGGAACAUGUGGUUUAAUUCGAUGAUACGCGAGGAACCUUACCCGGGCUUAAAUUGCAGUGGAAUGAUGUGGAAACAUGUCAGUGAGCAAUCACCGCUGUGAAGGUGCUGCAUGGUUGUCGUCAGCUCGUGCCGUGAGGUGUCGGCUUAAGUGCCAUAACGAGCGCAACCCUUAUCUUUAGUUACUAACAGGUCAUGCUGAGGACUCUGGAGAGACUGCCGUCGUAAGAUGUGAGGAAGGUGGGGAUGACGUCAAAUCAGCACGGCCCUUACGUCCGGGGCUACACACGUGUUACAAUGGGGGGUACAGAAGGCAGCUAGCGGGUGACCGUAUGCUAAUCCCAAAAGCCUCUCUCAGUUCGGAUCGAAGUCUGCAACCCGACUUCGUGAAGCUGGAUUCGCUAGUAAUCGCGCAUCAGCCACGGCGCGGUGAAUACGUUCCCGGGCCUUGUACACACCGCCCGUCAAGCCAUGGGAGCCGGGGGUACCUGAAGUACGUAACCGCAAGGAUCGUCCUAGGGUAAAACUGGUGACUGGGGCUAAGUCGUAACAAGGUAGCCGUACCGGAAGGUGCGGCUGGAACACCUCCUUU